CAUGAAGUCGGAAUUGCUAGUAAUCGCGGAUCAGCAUGCCGCGGUGAAUACGUUCCCGGGCCUUGUACACACCGCCCGUCACACCAUGGGAGCCGGUAAUACCCGAAGUCAGUAGUCCAACCUCGUGGGGACGCUGCCGAAGGUAGGAUUGGCGACUGGGGUGAAGUCGUAACAAGGUAAC
rnacentral:rRNA from 1 species